rnacentral:rRNA from 1 species
CGGAGGGAGCUAGCGUUGUUCGGAAUUACUGGGCGUAAAGCGCACGUAGGCGGCUACUCAAGUCAGAGGUGAAAGCCCGGGGCUCAACCCCGGAACUGCCUUUGAAACUAGGUGGCUAGAAUCUUGGAGAGGCGAGUGGAAUUCCGAGUGUAGAGGUGAAAUUCGUAGAUAUUCGGAAGAACACCAGUGGCGAAGGCGACUCGCUGGACAAGUAUUGACGCUGAGGUGCGAAAGCGUGGGGAGCAAACAGGAUU